GACGAACGCUGGCGGCGUGCUUAACACAUGCAAGUCGAACGAAGUGGCGAACGGGUGAGUAACGCGUAAUCAACCUGCCCUUCAGAGGGGGACAACAGUUGGAAACGACUGCUAAUACCGCAUACUGAAGGAGGGGAUUGCGUCUGAUUAGCUAGUUGGAGGGGUAACGGCCCACCAAGGCGAUGAUCAGUAGCGGUUUGGAGGGAUAGACGGGCCAGAUUGGACUGAGACACGGGCCAGACUCCUACGGGAGGCAGCAGUGGGGAAUCUUCCGAAAUGGACGAAAGUCUGACGGAGCAACGCCGCGUGAGUGAUGACGGCCUUCGGGUUGGAAAGCUCUGUUAAUCGGGACGCGGUACCGGAAUAGAAAGCCACGGCUAACUACGUGCCAGCAGCCGCGGUAAUUC
rnacentral:rRNA from 1 species